AUCGAACGCUGGCGGCAGGCUUAACACAUGCAAGCCGAGCGGAGAUGAGGUGCUUGCACCUUAUCUUAGCGGCGGACGGGUGAGUAAUGCUUAGGAAUCUGCCUAUUAGUGGGGGACAACAUUCCGAAAGGAAUGCUAAUACCGCAUACGUCCUACGGGAGAAAGCAGGGGAUCUUCGGACCUUGCGCUAAUAGAUGAGCCUAAGUCGGAUUAGCUAGUUGGUGGGGUAAAGGCCUACCAAGGCGACGAUCUGUAGCGGGUCUGAGAGGAUGAUCCGCCACACUGGGACUGAGACACGGCCCAGACUCCUACGGGAGGCAGCAGUGGGGAAUAUUGGACAAUGGGGGGAACCCUGAUCCAGCCAUGCCGCGUGUGUGAAGAAGGCCUUAUGGUUGUAUAGCACUUUAAGCGAGGAGGAGGCUACUGAGACUAAUACUCUUGGAUAGUGGACGUUACUCGCAGAAUAAGCACCGGCUAACUCUGUGCCAGCAGCCGCCGUAAAAC
rnacentral:rRNA from 1 species